rnacentral:lncRNA from 1 species
GUUGAACUUACCGGUAUUGAAUCCAAAAUCUAUGUACUGCGUGCUCGAUGCAUUUGAUCCGGCUAGGAGGGAAAUACCCUGAACAUUUCCAAUCAGCUCUGAGUCAGGCUCAGGACCAGUCCUGAGGGGAUCAUUAACGGCAACUAGGGUGGCAAAUGGCACUGAUGUAUUAUUGCUUGUGAUGUUAGCUUGGGUUAGCACGACUGCUGUAGUGCCCGUAAAUUCGUGCAUAUAGAAGUGAAGAUUGGUGACCACAACUGGCCUGGGUUGAUAUGGUAGGGUGUCCGAGUAGUAUUGGCUCCGCACUGCUACUUGGGAGAGGCAGAUGAUCAGAAUCCAACUCAACACCGAUGCUCCCCUCAUUGUCUCUGCUUUACUAUAAUUUCUGGGGUGAAGGAAAAAUGUUGAUGAAAGGUAGUGGAAUUUUUGCUUCAUGUUUAUGAACAAAACGGAGACAUUUAUACUGAGAAAUCCUGCGGACUUUGGAAAUAAUGUAUUGCCCAAAACAUUUGAUAUAAUAACUGGUUGAUUUUUCCCUAGUAAUAUUAAAAAGAAAACAAAUCUUGACCACGCAACGGUAGCUUGGUCUAAUUAGCAGCUUGAUUUUUGAAUAGGAAUAUACCUUUUUUAUAUACGUAUAAAUACGAAUUUCUUCCCUUAAUAAUUAGAAUGGUGAAGGUUGUAAACACCAUUUUAUCUAUAAGUAUAAUGUUUGGAAGUUUCCUGCCCUGCGUUUUUGUUUUUGUCUGAAUUUGACUUUAAUUUAUCUGAUAUCAGAUAUUAGAUGUGAUUGAUGUGUUGGUUUUAUAAAUUAUUCUAUCUUCCGCUAAGAAAAGUCUGCUUGAUAUGAAAGUCUUCUUUCUCUUUUUCUUUAAAUCUACGUACUAAAUUAUUAUAUUCCUACAAUGUUCUGUGUAUAAGAACUAAACGACAAGAAUAAAAGAAUAUAAUCGAUCAAUAUUAUAUUCCAUUAAUUCUAGAAUUCCCCAACCUUCAAAUAACUUCAUUUUCAUAGUGUCCUUGGUCAUAUGGAGCAGCAGCUACUCCUAAUCCUUUGCUCCUUCUGUACAAACCCAAAUAUGCCCGGGCCCAGACCAACAAACAAGCCCAAACAUUUAACCCCAAGCCCAAUAACUAAAUAGCCCAAUACUUAAAUAAAUGCAGAAAACCCUAGUAGCAGCAAGUAGCCGCCGCCCUCAAACGCCCCAGCAAUCUCCAGUCGCCGCAAGUUUCGGCCUCCACGCGUGCCGUUUCUCCGCAAACACCGCUCCUCAAGCACGUACCUGCAACAAGCGAAAGAGAAGAGAAAAAAAUCGGGCCAACAAACAACCGAAUAGAUUUAUUUGGAUUUAUUUUUUCUUUCCCAUUUUCGGCUAUAAAAGGCCAAUAUUUUCAGUGUAAAAAGGGGGAUGCAGUGUAAAAGAUACGAAAAUAGAGAGAAAAGAUUGAAAUACAAAGAAAAUUGAAGGUUAAUCGCGUUUAUUCUAUUUUCAUUUUUACUUUUUUUUUCUCUUUUCUUUUUUAUUUGUUUUGUGAAAUAAUAGAACAAAAGGGGAAAAGGGAGACUUACCUUUCGCCGGAGUCUUCGAGCUGGUGUCCCCUCCGUCGGAAUCGAGGCGUGGGCUGAACGGCGGCCAAAGGGUUAAGGAAACCCAGAAAGAAGCAGUUUUUGCUUCAAAGGGAAAGGCAAAAUAUUACCCUGAAUUUGUUUUUUUUCUAAAACUUAAAACGGAACAAAGAUGGUGUUGUUUAGUUUGGGGGUCUGCGCAUAUCGACCUUAAGUGGGAGAAUUGCGCAAUAAGUCCUCCCCCUUUGCGCCAUGUUUUAUUGAGCCAGUUAUUUCUUUUUAAUUUGGCCCAAAUAUUUUUACCUUGUUUCAAGUCGGUCCCCAUUGCUGCGCACCGUUUGGGGAGAGGGAUUAUUUUCAUUUUAGGUCCCCCAUGUAGUGCGCGCGUCGCAAAUUGGUCCCCUUUCUUUUUUUUUAAUUUCAUUUUUUGGUUAUUUUGUUUUUUUUUGCAUUUUUUUAAAAAUUAUUACUAUAUUAUUUAUUAUUAUUUAUUAUUAUUCCUAUAUUUAUACACGCAUUUUCUUUAUAUAGUAUAUAUAUACAUAUUUCUUUAUAUAAUAUAUAUAUUCUUAAACCUUUUUAAAUACAUGCAUUCUACAUUAUAUAUUUAAUUAUUUUUUUGUAACUUUUAUGUACCUUAUAUUAUAUAUAUGCAUACUUAUACAUUUUCUUUUAUUCUGUGAAUAUAUACAUCUCCGCAUACUCUUAUAUUUUUUUAUAUUAUUUUAUUUUUAUAGUUUUUGCAUUCAUAUAUGUACAUAUAUAUAUACAUAUUUUAAUGCGUGCAUAAUUUAUAUAUAUAUAUUUUUUCCUUUUUUUUUUGUUUUCAUAGUUUUUAUAAAUAAAUAUAUAUGUAUGUACACUUAUAUUUUACAAUACAUAUGUAUUUUCCUUAUUUUUGUACAUAUACGUAUUUUCUUUGAAAUCUACAUACAUAUUUUUGGAGAUUACUAUAAGUUCUGUUGUACAUGUUUUUUUACAUACGUAUACUUGUAUAUGUGUGUUAAAUAUAUGCAUACACAUAUUUUCAAAUUUACUUGUGUAUUGUGCUUGUGUUUACAUAUUUUGUAAAUACAUGUACAUAUAUAUUUUAAAUUAAAAUAUUUGUUUCAUAUUGUACAUUAAUUUUUAACGUACCCUUUGGAAAAUAAAUCUUGGUUUUUUCGAUAUAUCAAAAUCAUUUUUUCUUGAUUCAAGGGUUUUUUUUUGAAUAAAAGCAAUAUUCGAAGUUUGGGAUUUUCGAGGGAAAUUGAGCCCUAACGUAUUGGGUUCUAAUUUUCUUUGUUAAUCUUAAAUAACCGAGGAUAUUCUUCAUUCAAAAUGCAUGAGUAUAAAAAUCAUUUUUAGGAACUUAACUUGUUGUGCCCUAACGCAUUGGGUGUGGCAUGUUACUUUCUCAAAAUGAAGAUUUUCACAUAAAAUAAAAGUGAUAUUCAAAGUUCAGGGAUUAUGAGGAAUUGUACCCUAACGUAUUGGGACUCGAUUUCUUUACAUGACUUGAACAAUUGAUUAUCCUUUUUCAAAUUUCAUCAUUUGAGCCGAUUUUAGAAAUCUUUUUAACCUUCGACACUAAGAUAUUAAAUGAUCAAUUUGGUACCGAUUUUGGGCGUUACGAGGGUGCUAACCCUUCCUCGUGCGUAACUGACUCCCGGACUCAUUUUCUCAAAAUUCGUAGACCAAAAUAGGGUGAGCCGAUCACACCUUAAUAAAGGAUCGGUGGCGACUCCAGUUUUAUUUUUAAAGUCGACAACUAAAAUUUUUGUUUUCAAAAAACGGUUUCGACAGCUUGGCGACUCCACUGGGGACAUUUGAGAGUCCAGUCAUGAAUUGAUUAUGCUUUGUCUUUUUGUCGAAAGUCAAUUUUUUUUUAAAUCAUGAUUUCCUUUUGCAUUUAUUGAUUUUCAUCAUUUGCAUGAUUGAAUCAAGUUGGUUGGUCUGUAUUUGCAUUUUGCAUUGCAUGGUCAGUGUUACCCUUUAAGUAGGAGCGAGAAACUAGUCCUUCGUGAGGUUUUCACCUCCGUGCAGGGUAGUGGACCGCUUCCGAGAUACAUCCGUACCUAUGUCUUCGUGAGAUUUUCAUCUCCGUACAGCCAUAGGGAAAUGUAUCCCCCUGAACUGAACUCGAUCCACAUGAGCCUAUAAUGGGUGAGGAUCGAGGAAUCUACUGGUUCGGGUACCCUUACUUUAGAAAAUAACCCUCAUAUAGUAAACAUUAGGAACUUACCCUAGGUAGAGCUAUACCAAACCCUAGAGGGGUCCUGAAUAGGUGCUUUUAUAAUUUCCUGUGUAUAUUGAAUUAUGAUUUUAUACAUAAUACUGACUUUUUUAUGUUUCACUUUGACUGCAUAGCAUUUAGACUGCAUGGCAUUUCAUUAUAGAAAAGAGGUGUUGAUUCACGUUUGGUUGUUAAUAGAGAGCUCACCAUGGAAAACAGGUUUCUUGAUAAGGUGGAAGAUAAUACGAUUGUCUGAGUACAGUCUAAGAAAACGUGACGCGAAAGGUCUAACAAUUGGAGUAUACGAAUUUGCUACGUGACCUGAGAAUUCAAAUUGUCAAAGAUUAUUCAAAGUCAUCAAAUGUCCCAACCUCUUAAAGAAGCUAAUGAACGUGAAUGAGCAAGGAGUUACGACCUAGAUCAAACAAAAAAGAGUUCGAAUUCGCGAGGUGCAUCUUAAUAUCCGAAUGGUCGAUGCCUUCGCUUGGAGUACGAAGGUGAAGCCGUAUAUAUAUAUCCGCUUUAUGUAAAGAGAUUUAUUUUUUAGUAAAACUUUCUAGUAAAGAAUUGAACAUAAAUCAACGUCUCUUUUUUGCAUUCAUUUCAUGCAUUUGCAUUUCAUUACAUUAUAUGCAUUAGACACCUUUAAAUGAUCCUAAUUAAUUAAAAUCCCUGCUCAGUUAACCUGGAAACCAACCAACCAACCAAGCACCGUUACGGCACUCGAGCAAAGAUUAAAGACAUGGAUCAGAGAUUGGAAAAGCUUGAACAAUACCAGAAGGAGAUGCAAGACUUACUUCAGCUACAAGUGCAGGAGCGGUUAGACAAGAUGCAACAGGAUAUGUCUGAGAAAAUGCAGGAAUCCCAAAAGGAUAUGAUGGCAAAGCUAACCAAACUAUUGACCGGAGGAGGUGAUAAGGGAAAGGGUCUCAUGGCUGAUGUCAAAGGGGGUAAUGAACCACUCUAUCUUCUAGGCUUUACUCCUCCACAUGUUCGAACUCAAUAUCCACAUAAACCCACUGUCACAAUCAAGCCUCAGCAGUCCCAGGCCAGUGCUUCGAACUUUUAAGUUAGAUUGGGCUCUAACCCCGAAAACUACCCUGUUAACUCUGUCAUUCCUGACUUUGAUGAAGUGGCUGAAAAGGAAAGAAUAAAAGAGGAGUUACCAAGGCAGUUAGAGGAAAGGUACAAAUGGCUAGAGGAGAAAUUCAAGGCGAUGGAAGUCACUGAAAGCUAUCGCGGGAUUGACGCCAAAGAGCUAAGCUUAGUUCCAGAUUUGGUACUCCCUCACAAGUUUAAGAUGCCAGAAUUUGAUAAGUACAAUGGGACAACUUGCCCAGAAGCUCAUAUCACCAUGUUCUGCAGGCGAAUGGCUGGAUACGUUAACAAUGACCAGCUAUUGAUACAUUGUUUCCAGGAUAGCCUUUCAGGGGCAGCAUCUAAAUGGUACAAUCAGCUAAACCGUACCACAAUUGGUUCAUAGAGGGACUUGGCACAAGCGUUCAUGAAACAGUAUAGUCAUGUGACAGACAUAGUUCCUGACAGAAUCACCCUUCAAAAUAUGGAGAAGAAGCCGAACGAAAGUUUCAGGCAGUAUGCACAAAGGUGGAGGGAGGUCGCAGUCCAAGUUCAACCACCGCUCUUAGAGAGAGAAACAACAAUGCUCUUUGUCAAUACGCUGAAAUCUCCAUUCAUUACGCAUAUGUUAGGAAGUGCUACAAAAAGCUUUUCUGACAUAGUCAUGAAUGGUGAAAUGAUCGAAAAUGCUAUAAGAAGCGGGAAAAUUGAUACAGAGGAGAGUAACAAGAGGUCAGUCUCAAAUAGAAGAGAAAAUGAGGUGAACAACACAGGUUACUCUAAAUUAGUUACCGUGAGUCAGCCAAGAAAGGUGGUUGGUAAUCAACAGAAUUCAUCGAGGCAAGAUUCCGGCAUGAAGACUGAGAAGUUUCAGUUUACGCCAAUCCCAGUACCGUAUAAAGAACUGUAUCAAAAUUUGUUUGAUGCACAUGUUAUUUCCCCUUUUCAUGUGAAGCCUCUACAACCUCCGUAUCCCGAAUGGUAUAAUGCCAACACACAAUGUGAAUACCAUGCUGGGGUUACGGGACACUCGAUUGAGAAUUGCACUGCCUUCAAGAAGCAAGUUGAAAGACUCAUCGACAUGGGUAUUGUCAAGUUUGAUGACCCAUCUAGUGCAGGAAAUCCGCUACCUAAUCAUGAUGGAUGAUGAAGGGAAUGCAAUGUAUGAAGAAGUGGUGAGGUUUUCAUAUCGAUGCCAUAUAUGCAGACACAAUUAAAGGGUCCUUAUUAGAUAUUCGCCUUAGAGGUGUUCUAAAUAAUGAGACUGUAGAGGAAACCCCUGAUGUAUUUAGAGUCUGUUAGAGUAAUGUUCAGAACACACUUGUUGCUUUCAGCCUAGAAGCAAUAAGAAUUUCUUUGUGAGAUAGGCUCACGUCUAAACAUUAUUAUUUUAAUGAAAUACAUUAUUACAAUCAUCUUUGAGCAAAUGUUCUUUCAUUCUUUACAAUUUUUUUUCAUUCCUUCAGAUUCUUUUCUGCCAAACCAUUCAUUUAUUCAUUCAUUUAUUUGUAUAUCCUUUAGCACCCACUAUGGGUCCCCAAAUAUCAAUGACAUGAGUGACGCUGCUACAGACUCAAAAUCGCCUUCUGAGUGAGACAUGUGUUUAGAGGGAUCUCAUGACUUUGAAGAUGUCAUAAAUUGUAGUCUAUUUCUAGACUUAUUAAGGAUGGUAGAGCAGGAAGGAAAUUUUACCUCAUGAGGAGACAAUAGAAACUGUGACCUUGAGGAACAUGCAUGAUCGAAGAAACAAAGCAAGAUGUUGUUGAGCUACUUCAAGAAUUCAAAAAUGUCUUCGUAUGGUUAUACCAGGGUAUGCCCAGGUUAAACACUGUCAUUACAAUCUGAACAAUAGCAUGAUAUUAGAAACUUGCAGUAUGUUCAAGGUGAAUAUCAUGAAUGGUGCAGUGAAAACUCUACCGGGGCAAUGCCACUCUUUUCAGUUUAUCAAGAUUUUUUUCCAUUGAAGUUGAAAUUCUUUCUCUUCGGGUUUUGGCUGGAUGAGGCAGAAUAGAUCCAAUCGCAAUGUGAUCAAUUGAACUUGAUAGAAGGAAGAAGAUUAAAAGUUAUUCAUCAUGGUCAGAUGUACCAGAAAUGAAUUAUGCGAGCCUAUAACAAAAGGUUCAUCCUAGAGAAUUCCACGAGGGUGACCAAAUGUUGUAGAUCUUCCCUCUACAAAAAAUAUUUUGGAAGGAAACGGAUACCAAAUUGGGAGGAACCUUAUGAUUAUAGAGAAGGUUUUUUUCAAAGGAGCUUUGAUUUUGAGCGAGAUGAAUGAUAAAACCUGCAAAGUCCUGUAAACUCAGAUUCAGUCAGGAAAUACUCUACUUAGAGAAGGAGAGGACCAAGGUAAAAACCCGCAAAGGGCAGCUUGAGUCCCAAAAAAAAAGAAAAAGAAGUGAUGUGAAAAAAUGAAAAGAUGAAAAUAAAAAAUGAAAAAGUAAAAUGGAGAGGCUAAGGUGAAAACCCGUAAAGGGCGCCUUAGACCAAAGGGGAUUUGAGUUGAAAACCCAAAAAGGGCGGCUUAAAUGUUGGUCAAAAUGGCGUUUGAAUUUUUCAGAGCAGCUCAAAUACUGAUCAGAAUGGGGGCAUGCAGUGGUCUUGCUAUACCUGAAUCAACAGGAAAGGGUAGGCGACAUCUUGGGGCAUCGACAAAGUACUCCUAAACACAUGUUAAACUCAGAAUGGUCUUUAAAAAUUUGUACAGAGAAGUUCAAGCUGCGAUAUCUGGGGCACCUAAUCCUUAUAUUAUUUUUUGUUAUUCUUGGAACACUUCAUUCAUUUCCAAGAUAUGCAUUCAUAAAUCAAUUUCUUUGUUAUCCAUCUUUAUUAUCUUUGACAACUUAUUCAUUUCAAGCUAUGCUCAGAACCAACUCAAUUCUUAUCCAUGAUCUUUUUUACAAGCAUGUUGCAUUAGAAUAAUGAUUAAUGGACUAAUAAAACUUUCACAAGGGAAGUUUUGCAUAUUACUCUAGAAGUUUCUGAAUAAUAUAGGAACCUCAAACAAGACUAUUGUUUAGAACGCAUCAGGUUGGAAAUCUGAUAAAGAAGAGUCAAAAUUAAGACUAUCUCUUUGGAUUUUCUUGUCUAAAGUAUUACUUGAACAAAAUGGUAAGAUGUCGUGUUGGUGACAAAGCUUCAAUGAAUAAGCAAGUAAUGAUCACCGAAUAAUAAGAAGAAGUUGUUCUUGGAGAAGAUUUCUUCAUUUGUGCAUGAGCAUUUGGUACAACACCCUGGGAAUUGUGUAAGAGACCAAAAAGUUUCACAUCCUGUAUCCUUGAAUUGUGAUAACAGAGGAUUGAGAAAAGGCCAAAUUUUUUACUCUUGGGUUACAACGGGAAAAGAUGGUACAAAUUUUGCAUCCCAGUAGAUCAAACUUGGAGGUUUACAGCGUGGGGCAAUCUGGUCAAGUGCUUAUUGGGUUCACCAGCCGAGCAUAAAGGCGCUAUAGUACAUUAAGCGAUAAGACCUUAAUAAACUUGGAGUAAUGACAACUCAAGUGUUAAAAUAUCAUUUUUAUGACAUUCUACAUUCAUUCAAAUGUCAUUCAUACAUGUCUAGUUAGGAGAAUUUGAUUCAUUUGAUCAUGACAUCCUAUUCACUAGGCAUAAUUAGGUUCACAAAAUAAAUCAUACAGGUUAUGUUCCACAGAGAACAGAUUGGUGAAAUCAUAAAGCCUUAUCUCCCUGAGUUGCCGUGGAGCAGGUUGAAAAGAUAGCAGAUCUUGUCUUCCCAUACUGGUGGCGAAGUAGAUCAAAGAAAGUAGAUCUUGUCUUCAUGUACUGGCGUGAAGUAGAUCAGAGAUAACAGAUCUUGCCUUCCCAUACUGGUGGCGAAGCAGAUCGAAGGAAAAAGCAGAUCUUGUCUUCAUGUACUGGCGUGAAGUAGAUCAGAGAUACCAGAUCUUGCCUUCCCAUACUGGUGGCGAAGCAGAUCGAAGAAAGCAGAUCUUGUCUUCCCAUACUUGUCUUCCCAUACUGGUAGCGAAGCAGAUCAAAGAAAGCAGAUCUUGUCUUCAUGUACUAGCGUGAAGUAGAUCAGAGAUACUAGAUCUUGCCUUCCCAUACUGGUGGCAAAGCAGAUCAAAGAAAGUAGAUCUUGUCUUCAUGUACUGGAGUGAAGUAGAUCAGAGAUACCAGAUCUUACCUUCCCAUACUGGUGGCGAAGCAGAUCAAAGAAAGUAGAUCUUUUCUUCAUGUACUGGCGUGAAGUAGAUCAGAGAUAACAGAUCUUGCCUUCCUAUACUGGUGGCGAAGCAGAUCGAAGGAAAAAGCAGAUCUUGUCUUCAUGUACUGGCGUGAAGUAGAUCAGAGAUACCAGAUCUUGUCUUCCCAUACUGGUGGCGAAGCAGAUCAAAGAAAGCAGAUCUUGUCUUCAUGUACUAGCGUGAAGUAGAUCAGAGAUAACAAAUCUUGCCUUCCCAUACUGGUGGCGAAGCAGAUUGAAGGAAAAAGCAGAUCUUGUCUUCAUGUACUGGCGUGAAGUAGAUCAGAGAUACCAGAUCUUGCCUUCCCAUACUGGUGGUGAAGCAGAUCAAAGAAAGCAGAUCUUGUCUUCAUGUACUAGCGUGAAGUAGAUCAGAGAUACUAGAUCUUGCCUUCCCAUACUGGUGGNNNNNNNNNNNNNNNNNNNNNNNNNNNNNNNNNNNNNNNNNNNNNNNNNNNNNNNNNNNNNNNNNNNNNNNNNNNNNNNNNNNNNNNNNNNNNNNNNNNNNNNNNNNNNNNNNNNNNNNNNNNNNNNNNNNNNNNNNNNNNNNNNNNNNNNNNNNNNNNNNNNNNNNNNNNNNNNNNNNNNNNNNNNNNNNNNNNNNNNNNNNNNNNNNNNNNNNNNNNNNNNNNNNNNNNNNNNNNNNNNNNNNNNNNNNNNNNNNNNNNNNNNNNNNNNNNNNNNNNNNNNNNNNNNNNNNNNNNNNNNNNNNNNNNNNNNNNNNNNNNNNNNNNNNNNNNNNNNNNNNNNNNNNNNNNNNNNNNNNNNNNNNNNNNNNNNNNNNNNNNNNNNNNNNNNNNNNNNNNNNNNAGAUCAAAGAUAACAGAUCUUGUCUUCCCAUACUGGUGGUGAAACAGAUCGAAGAAAGCAGAUCUUGUCUUCGUGUACUGGCGUGAAGUAGAUCAAAGAUACCAGAUCUUGUCUUCAUGUAUUGGCGUGAAGUAGAUCGAAGAAAACAGAUCUUGUCUUCAUGUAUUGGCGUGAAGUAGAUCAAAGAUACCCGAUCUUGUCUUCCCAUACUGGUGGCGAAGUAGAUCGAAGAAAGCGGAUCUUGUCUUCCCAUACUGGUGACGAAGCAGAUCGAAGAUGGCGGAUUUUACCUCCCUGAGAUUACAGUGGAGUACAUUGAAGCCAGUUAUUCCUAUCUCAUUGAAGUUGCAAUGGAGUGGAUUAAAGUACCAGUUCCUAUACCUCUGAAGAUGCAGUAGGAAGGAACAAGGCUACUGGAAAGAGAAGCAUGAAAUAAGUUGAGAUUCAGUAGGACCAGGAACAAUUGGGCCUUGUAGUCUUUGCUCUAUUCCCGUUACACGACAAUGAACAAAGAGGGGCAGUUGUAAUAGGCCCAAUCGAUCCAGGUCCAAACAAAAUUAAAAUCAGUCCAAGAUUUACAAGCUCAUCUAAAGCAAACACGACCCAAAAGAAAAAAGAAAAGCUAAACCCUAGAACCUUCAGCAAAUGGCAGCAAGGAGCGCCGCAGCAAGCUGUCAGUGUCGUGCCCAACGCCCAGUCGCCGCACAACUCGGAGGUCGGCCUCCCCACGCGCGUUUACACUCCAUGAACGCCUGAAAAAAUGGACUCAAUGAGUCCAAAGAAAAACAAACAGGAAGCAAUAUUUUUUUUUCCUUCUUUUUCGAUUAUUUUCUUUCUCUUUUUCGGCCUAUAAAAGGCCAUUUUGUAAUCUGUAAAAUGGGGGGGAUUUUCGGUGUAAAGGAAUACACAUAGAAACACUGAAAAAUACAGAGAAAAAGAAAGAAAGAUACAAACUUUUCUUGAAUAUAAAGGUGGCUUUUUUUUUCCGGCGUUCAUUAUUUUUUUCAUGUUUACUGUUGAUUUAUAAAGAGAAGAGAGUGAAGAGGAGUUUACCUCUGUGUUCGGGCCACCGUUUGCUACCAUCUCCGCCGCAAUCGGGGAUCCGGUUCAAAAGGCCGACGAGCGACGACGCAGAAGGAAAAAUUUAGAAAAAACCCUAGCAAAGGAUUCUCAAUUUUUUUUCCCUUUCAGCUGUAAAUAAGUUUUUAACAAAAAAAUUUGUUUUAAAUAACAAAAGUGAAACGGCGCCAUUUUGCAAGGGGCUAGAUCCGCGCGCCGACCUGACCUGCAAGCAGGGUCCGCGCGUUCUGGCCCUGAAUGGGGAAUUUACGCAACUGGUCCCUCUGUUUUUGAGUCACCUUCAAUGCAAUUUUUUUAUUUUCAAUUUUGACCGCACGUUUGUUUCUUGUUUCAAUUUGGUCCAACAUGAAAACGCUGCGUAUAAGGGGCUGGUACAUUUCUUGUUUGCUCCUUGAUGUUUCCAGCGCACUACAAAUUAGUCUUCAGCUUUUAUUAUUUUAAAUGUUUACCUGAAAGUUUCCUGUAGUUUCAAUUUGGGUCCCUUGUUAUUAAUUAUUUUAUUAUUAAAAUUAUUUAUUUUUAUUAUAUUAUUUAUUAUUAUUGAUUAUUAUCAUAUUUUCUAUACAUAUAUAUAUAUACGCAUAGUUUUUUUUAUAUAUAAUAUAUAUAUGAGCAUUUUUUUUAUAUAUAGGUAUAUAUAUAUUUUUAAGCUUUUAUAAAUACAUGCAUAUAUUUUAUACAUAUGUUUUAUUUUUGUUUUUUACUUUUUUAUAUAUACUUUUUUUUGUAAAUAUAUACACAUGUACAUAUUUUUAUAUUUUUAUCUUAUUUUCAUAAAUUUCGCAUACAUAUAUAUACAUGCAUAUUUUCUUAGGAAUUAUAAUAGGUUUUUGUUUUGUUUUAUGUAUUUCAUUUAUUUUUUUAAUUUUAUAUACGUAUACUUAUAUAUACCUGUUUUAAUAUAUGCUUAUACACGUUUUCAAAAUUUAUUUAUGUCUCAUACUUAUAUUUUGAAAAUACAUAUAUACAUAUAUUUUAAAUUAAAGUAUCUGUAUCAUAUUGUAUAUUAACUUUUUAACAUACCCUUUUGAAAAUAUAUUUUGGUUUUAACCAUUCAUCAAAGUUAUUUUCUUGAUUUAAAGGUUUUUUUUGAAUAAAAGCAUUAUUGGAAGUUUGGGAUUUUCGAGGGUAAUUGAGCCCUAACGUAUUGGGUUCUGAUUUUCUUUGUCAAUCUUAAAUGACCGAGAAUAUUCUUUAUUCAAAAUGCAUGAGCAUAAAAAUCAUUUUUGGGAACUUAACUUGUCGUGCCCUAACGUAUUGGGUGUGGCCUGUUACUUUCUCGAAAUGAAGAUUUUCGCAUAAAAUAAGAGUGAUAUUCAAAGUUCGGGGAUUAUGAGAAAUUGUACCCUAACGUAUUGGGACUCGAUUUCUUUACAUGACUUGAACAAUUGGUUAUCCUUUUGCAAAUUUCAUCAUUCAAGCUUAUUUUAAAAUCUUUUUUUCAAAUUUUCGACACCAAGGCAUUAAAUAAUUAAUUUGGUACCGAUUUUGGGCGUCACGAGGGUGCUAAUCCUUCCUUGUGCGUAACUGACUCCCGAACUCAUUUUCUCAAAUUUCGUAGACCAAAAUUAUUUUUAAGGUGAGCCGAUCACACCUUAAUCAAGGAUCGGUGGCGACUCCCAUUUUCGUUUUUAAAGUCAAAAACUAAAAUUUUUGUUUUCAAAAAACGGUUUCGACACCUUCCACUUCUUUCCUGUCAAGUUUGGUGAAAUGUAAAUUACCUACAAAAUAUAAGUAUAAAUAACUAAUUGUAUAGGUUUACAAAAUAAGAAAUUCAGUUCAACAAAAUAAUUAAUAUUUUAUAAUCUACCAAGUAAUUUUGAGGCAGUGCCAACCCUUUUGACAUCCUAAAUUUUACUCUUCCUCCGAUGAUCGCAAGCUCACGUUCUGUCUGCGUUAUAGCGUUUUCGUGAGAACUGUUUGGUAUACGUGGGGGGACGAAAUAAAAUUAAGUGGAUUGAGCAUUGAGUCAUGAUAAUAACUUCAGUCCGAUACUACUCCUAAUAUUUUCCUAUUUCGUUUAUCCUUCUACUUCUUUCCUGUCAAAUUUGGUGAAAUGUAAUUUUCCAACACAAUAUAAGUAUAAACGACUAACUGUAUCUGUUGCUACUUUAAAUUGUUUACUUGCUAAAAUACAAAAUUGAAAGGGAAGUGUUAGAUUGUAGUGGUCACUACGGCUUGGCACUUCCAAAUGCCAAUUCUGUGCAAACAAAAUUAUAAAGAACAUCAAGGUUUCUUUACAUAGUUCGGUUUCUUUAUGUCCAUAGAGUCUAACUCAGUGAGUAAUUUUACUAUCUUUAACUACACUCUAUCACUUCUCAAGAAUAGAAAUCUCACCUUUGUACCUGAAGAUUAGAACACUCAAUAAGCUCUCAUACAAAACCUAAAUAAGCCUGUAUAUUCAAUUUCGGCUUGCUAACAUGGAAUCUAAGUGAACACAAUUUUACACAUUAAAACCAGCUAUUACAAUUACAACUUUCAAAGCAGAAUCAAACGAAGAUAUGAUUUCCAGAAUAGCAAUGCAGUCUUGAUCGAAUCUCGACACUUUCCAUGGGUUGAAUUGAUUCAUUCAUAUCCAAUCAAAUCCUCAAAAGCCAAAGACUAUUUUGCAUAGAUGGACCAUAGUAUCUUCAAUAACACAUCACAUUAAACAGGUCCAAACAUUUUUUUGCCACCACCUUGACGAAUUAGUCUACAGUGACAUUAUCGAGUACCAGUUAGCAACUAUCAACUCAUCUUGCCUCAGUAGUAUCAGUUUACAAAAAUAAGAAAUUUUGGUCUACAAAGUAAAUAAUAUUUUAUAAGUUUUAGUAUUUUAUUUUCCAAGUAAAGUCCCACGACCUGGAAUUUUUUUGCACUAAAUAUUAAAUUUUUUUACACAUGCAAUGUGGUUGAGAAAAAUGUUGUAUAAAAUUGAUAUCUCGAGAAAUAAUUAUAUUCAAAAUAAAAGAUUUAAUAUUUUUUUUCUAAGGAGAUAAAUUAUGGUAUUUAAUUUAAUUUUGUUUUUUUUAAAUAUUGGUAAUUUAGUUAAGGAUACGAAGUUUGAAGUGGGUAGUUAUAGAGUAAUCGGUGCUAGAACAAAUUUUUGCCACCAUCUUGACGUUUUUAAUUAUCUAUGUAUAUAUUGAAAGUUGAUUAGUUAAUAAAAAUUGUGUCUAAAUUGGAUUGGACCGACUUAACUAAAGGCCCAACACAAUGAAAAACUAUAUUUCAUUUAAAUGGAUUUAAGAUCUAUUCAAUUUGGGUUUUAUACGAUGUACUGUCAGUCUAGUUAGUUACAUCUAUAUUCUUAUCUUUUGGGAGUAAUUUGUUCUAUAUUAAAGAUAAGAUAUGUCACCAAUUAGGCUAGAUAGAGAACAUAUUAGUAUUUUAAUCGAUUUUCUCAAUUCCGAUUAGACUAAGGACGUGUUUAGAUUAUCUACUAAUAUAAAUUGUCUUUUUAUAUUAUGAGUCGACCACAUAAUAUCGCUUACUAUUAAUUAAGCGUUGGAUAAUUAGUGAGUUAAUAUUUGUUUUCAUUUUGUUUUGCAUGCAAAAACCAUUAAGAAUAAUAUAUGAAGAUGUUAAUGAAACUGAUGAAUAUUUUAGUAAAUCAAUUUGUUCGAAAAUUACAACUACAUGUAGACGACAAUACUACACCAAGGCACUAGAUCCCAAUGCACCCAAGAGACAAUUUUCUAACCACUAAAUUCUCCUAUUGAGAACAUAGCAUGUAAAGCCACAAUACAAAAUUUGUACAAUCAUAUGCACUCUUACAAAUAAUGUUUCUCACUUGAAUGUAUUAAAUGUUAUAAAAAAUCAACACAUCAACAUUAAUCUAUACAAGUCUCUCAAUUAAAUAAGGAUUUCGAGACAUGCUAUCAUCAUAAAAAUCUGUCAGAAACCUAUUAAACAAUAGCUAUAUAAGCUAAAAUACCAUAUAAUAAUAACAACCAAGAUAAAUAAGGACUGUUGACAACUAAGUCUUCAACAUUCUAAUCUGAUCCAACCUCCUUGGUCUAACGUAUUAGAUAGACUUGCACUUCCUCAAGCAUAUUUUUAUAAUAUUUCAAGUAAUAUGAUAUUCUUUCAACAUUAAUGAGGCUUUAAGUUCAAAUACCUCUAUUUGUGGAUUUGGUCCAGAAAAGGAAAAUAAUUUGCUACAUCAAACAAUAGUAUUCUAUGCAUAAGAACUAAGCAACAAGAAUAGAAGAUUAAUACAAUCAAUCGAUAUUCUCCCGAUAUAUGAAGAUUAAUUCUAGAGUUCGCCAACCUUCAUUAACUUUUCUGUUAAUUGUAUGUACUACAAUUCCCUUUAGACCAAAUAACUUCAUUCUAGUAGUGUCCUUGAUCAUGUGGAGCAGUAGCUACUCCUAAUAUUUAACUAAUUCUUUGGUCCUUUCACUUCUUUCCUGUCAAAUAUGGUGAAAUGUAAUUACUUAGACAAUAUAAGUAUAAACUAAUUGUAUCGGUAAAUUUAGUUAUAAGUUUUAGUAUUUUAUUUACCAAGUAAACUCCUGUAAUUUUUUUUUUCAACAAAUACUAAAAUUUGUGACACCCACUAUGUGGAUGACAAAAAAUUUUAUGUAAUUAAUUCCUCAAGAAAUAUUUAUUUUAAAAUCAGAUGUCAUGUGAUUAAUAUAAUUUUGAAAUAUUAAAGAGUAGCUUCAACAUCUUUAAUUAUUUUAAAAAUAUAUAAUUAUCAUGGAUGGCCCUUCUAACAACUUUGGCCAGCCAUCAUGCUCCGAAAUGGCCCUUGGAGACAACCAUAGUUGUUAAGGUACAUGAGGAGCAAGGGCCAUUUAGCCUCUUCUCGGCAUUGCUUGACAACUUACACAAAUUUGGGUCAUCUGGCAACUUGGAGGCUGACAAUUUCUGAUGGUCUUCUAACAACUUUGGUCAACAAUUACGCUCGCAGAUGGCCGUUUGAACAACUUUGGCUGGCCAUAACGUUUAAGGUUAAAUUUGACAUUAUGUUUUGAUUUAUUGAUCAAGCUUAAGAAUUGCGAAAUCUGAAUUUAUUGAUUCAAACAAAAUAUUGUAUCACUAAAAAUAAUAAAGCUUAUCCCUUUGACUUAGUUAAAACUUUUGUGUAGAGAUUUUUCAUUAAAGAUAUUGGUGAUUUGAAUCAUUUCUUGAGUAUUGACGUAUAAAGAUUUAUUCAUCUCAACACAAGAAUAUAUCUGUUAUGAUAUAUUGAGCAAAGUAAACUUUCUCAUUUUUUUGGUAAACCAACCUCUAUCAGAGAUGAAAUAAAUACUGAAUAGAUAUAUUUAUGUCUCUUUUGUAGCAAACAAUUUAAUCUUUAUUUGUAAUAAAAUAAUAAAGUACAAUGAUGAAGUAUGAGAUUCUCAUACAUUUAUUGUAAUCAAGUGUAGCAGAAUCAUAUGACUUUUUCACAGUCCCAGAGAAUUGAGUCAGUAGAUAACAUCUUAGUGAUGAAUUACAGUAACGUUAAAUUCAAUAAUGACAUUGGUGGCAUUUAUAAGGAUAGGGUUAAAUAGUGCAAUCCCCUUUGCCAUCAUGAAUCGUCCUCUUCCUCCAACCACCGCAAGCCCAGGUUCUCCCCUUGAAAAUACGCUUAGAGAGCUGCCAUUAAACUUACCGGUAUUAAAUCCAAAUUCUAUGUACUGCGUACUCGAUGCAUUUGAUCCAGCCAGGAGCGAAAUACCCUGAACAUUUCCAAUUACCUCUGAGUCAGGCUCAGGACCAGUCCUGAGGGGAUCAUUAACGGCAACUAGGGUGGCAAAUGGCACAGAUGAAUUAUUGCUUGUGAUGUUAGCUUGGGCUACCACGACUGCAGUAACACCCGUAUGUUCGUGCAUAAAGAAGUGAAGAUUGGUGACCUUAGGUGGCCUGGGAUGAUAUGGUCGGCUCUUCGAGUAGUAUUGGCUCUGCACUGCUACUUGGGAGAGGCAGAUGAUCAGAAUCCAACUCAACAUCAAUGUUCCUCUCAUUGUCUCUGCUUUACUAUAAUUUCUGGGGCGAAAUGUAGAUGAAAGCUAUAGAAUUGUUUCUUUAUUUUUAUUAAGAAAACAGAAAUAUUUAUAGCGAUAAAACCCGCAGACAUGAAAAUAAUUUAUUGUCCCAAAUAUUUUAUAUAAUAUUUCGCCGUAGUAAUAUUAAAAGGAACACAAACCUUGAUCACGCAAAAGAAACAUGGUCUCAUUGUCUAUGAUCCACUUGUAAAUUAAUUUUAUAUUGGAAGUUUCCUCUCCUACGUUUUUAAUUUCGUGUGAAUGGUGCAUUGUCCAUUGACUUUAUUUUAUUUGAUAUUAUAUAUUACUUGUGAUUGAUUUUAUAAAUUAUUUUAUCUUCUGCAAAUAAAAGAUGUUUGAUUUUAUAAAUCAUUUAUUUGAUACGUUUUUUCGGGUAUUCUAAGAUUAAAUAUGACAAAAAAAAGAAGAUAGGAGUGAGUUAUCAUAGAAUAUUUAAGAAAAUUUUUCUUAUAUAUACAUCUUAGAAUGCCCGAAAAACCUAAAAAAAUGCAAUUUCCUGUAAUUUAGUGUACAAAUUCAUAAAAUCGACACGAACUACCACAUGGCCGUGUGGAAUGGGUCAGCCCGUGUGGCUCAUGUAGCUUACUCUGAUUUUCCAUUCUUCACACGUUUUGCUCCCAAAUGCUCUAUUAAGCAUUAAAAUAUGAAUUUAAAGGAUUAGGAUAAUAAAAUUCACCAUUAACAUCGAAAAAUCACCUAAAAACGAAUUAAGAGCGAGGUUAAAAUAUGGUUUCUUUUAGCACUCAUCAAAUAUCUCCAUACUUAAGCGUUUGCUUGUCCUCCACAAUCAAGUGCACUUCCCUUAAUUUAUUGUUUUCACCGAUAAUGUCUCAGGAUAAUCCACAGAUAAUCAAGCAUUAGAAAUUCGAACUAAAAUGACACUAAAGAAUACAAGUAAUCCAAGCAAAAAUUUUCAAUACAUAAAAACAAAGGCAUCUCUCCUAUCUCAAUAAUUACAUGAAAUUUAAACUCAACAAGAAUUGACAUCCUCACUAAGGAUCACUCAAAGCACUCAGAGUCUUUAAUGUUCAAGGACUAUGCACUCAAUAGUCGAAUGAGAAAUGUUAUUACCAUAGGCUUGCUUGAAAAUUAGAUCUCUACCACUAAAGAAAUGAGAUGACACACCUAUUACCUCACAUAAAUACUAAGAAACCUUUAGUUUCAUAUGAUCAGUAAAAUGCAUGUUUCACUAAGUAGAAGAUCUGAAAGGACUUAAUUUGGUUUCUAAACUCAUGAAAGAUCAAGUUGCCAUGGAAUGCUUUCCGAACACUGUUAAGCAUGAUGAAAAUAAAUUAAGUUGAUUAAUGUAAUUAUCUUAACCUAUACAUGUUAUUGAUUGUUGAAGUUGUGUUUCUGUUGCUAAAAUCCAUUCAUACAUUUAGAUUAUUUUGCAUACUUAGUUUAAAAAUGCAUUAGGGACCAAAUUUUGCAUCCAGUUAAAUUAAUUUAGUUAAAUCAUCAUCACUAAAAUUAUUGUGUUUGAUAAUACUCUGGAUUGACAUAUUUUUAUGUAUUAAUUACAUAAUUAUUUUGAGUAUGAUCCUGCUAAUUUGAGCUAUUUAUGGUUUUUUUAUAUGCUAGGGAUUAAAUUGAAGGCAAAAGGAAAUUUAGGAGCAAAAGCAUGAAUUUGAAACAAAAUGGGCCAGCAUGCGAAAUAGGAAAGAAGUUGUGCCAAAAAUGCAAAGUGUGGAAGACUUGAGAGCAACAGUUCAAAGAAAAGAUUUUAUAAACACAAUACUCUAUUUAAAUUUUAAUUAUAUUAGGAUUAUUGUUAAAAUUAUUAUUUAAAUUUCAUUUUAGCUUUUAUCUUUAUUUAUCUUUUAGAAUUUAGAUAGGAAUAAACUAGGUUUUCUGAGUACUAUAAAUAGAGGAUGGAGUGACAUAAAUUGCACUCAUCUUUUCUGUAAAAGCUCCCUCUCCCAAAAAGCUCUAGCUUUUGUUCCUUUUAUUUAUUCAAUAAAAUUCCAUUUUUAUUAAGUUUAUUUCUUUUUCCCCAAAAAGCAUGAGCCACUAAAUUCAUCUAGCCAAAGGUUGUCGAAGAUUACCCAAAAAGGGUUCAUGAGGCUUAGAAUCCACACUUAACCUUCUCAACAAAUAUUCGUCAUUUCUCUGUAUUACAAGAUUGACGCUUCUAUCCAUGUCCCUUCAAAUGUGAUCUUUUCAUCUUGUGCAAAGGCGGCCGCUUUAUAUGUUUUGGGAAGGUUGCACAGUCGGUUCGUUAGCCUACUGCGUCAGUGUUUGUCAAGUCCAAGAGACAAAAUAGCGUGGCAUUCGCCAUUGAGAAGUGAUGAUCUAGUGUAAAACGGUUCCAUAAAAGUGACGAUUGGUUAGAGUCAGGUUCCUCUAUAUCGUGAGUCUAAAAUCUAAGUGGAGCUGGUGGUCAUAGGCGUCCUCUUCCACUAUAACUGGCUUAUUCUGUUAUGAUAAGGAUCAUCUAAAAGCCUAGGAUUGAACCUGAGGAGGAUCGAGAUAACCGGAGGCUGGAAUCUCUUUAUCAAAAACUCUAUUUUCUUAAUUCUGUUUAUUUUUACAGUUUCAAUUUCAAUUUAUGCAAUCUCAACUCAACCAAACUUUUAAUUUUGUUUUUUUAUUCUUUUCCAGGCACGCUAUUUUUAUUGGGCAAGACUUUGCUCGGGAUAUCGAGGAAGAGGAACCUGUGCAAGUCCAAUCCCUGAAGAUUUGACCCUACUUCCCUUAUACUAUUCUUUUCAUUAUUUUAUAGGGAUAUGAUACUUUUGGUGCUCUCAACGAUGCACCAAAUUUUGACACUGUUGCUGGGGACUAGUAACGUACUAAUCUUGCUCCUUUUGUUUCUUAUUACCAGAUCUGUUCCAAGUAUUCUUACAUUUGAUUCAGAGAUAGAGAAGAUUGCGUGAGCUAAUCGCAAAGAAACAAAACUACAUAAAAAGCAGUUAGGGGUGGUAAGGACUCAGACUAACCCACCGCUGGAGAUAGAAGCAGAUGACAAUGUGUCUAGGGUUAACGAAAACCCUACUCAAACACUAGAAAAUGAAAGAGUAGGAGUCGAUCCACCAGAAGAAGUGCUUAAUGUGAGGGUUAACGAAAUGCAAAACAAAAAUCCCCACAAACAUUUAAAAGAGUUUUAUAUGGUUUGUCUUAGCAUAAAACCUUAGGGCAUAACUAAGGAUCAAAUCAAAUUGGGUGCUUUCCCUUUUUCCCUAGCAGAUUCUACUAGGGAAUGGUUAUUUUAUCUACCCUCUAGAUCUAUUACAACUUAAACUGAUCUUUCUCGUUUGUUUCUCAAUAAUCUUUUCUAGCAUCGUAUGCAAUUGAGUUAAUAAGGGAGAUCGUUGGGAUAAGAAUAAAAGAAGUAAAGUCUCUUUAUGACUAUUGGGAGCGAUUUAAGAAGUUGUGUACAAGUUGCCCACAACAUGGUAUAACGAAACAGUCUUUACUCCAAUACUUUUAUGAAGGAUGGAAACCUAUAGAAAUGAACACGGAAGAUGCCGCCAGUGGAGGGGUAUUGGUCAACAUGACUCCCCAACAAGUAAGGGACUUGAUAUCCACGAUGGCUAUGAAUAAUCAACAAUUUUGAGCCAAUCCUAAACCCACUAGAGGGGUUCACUAGCUAAGUAAUUCAACCUUAGAAGAUAAAGUUGAUAGACUUACUAAUAUUAUGAAUUCUUUUAUUGCAGAAAAAGCAAAACUAACUUGACUAUGCGGAAUUUGUUCCAUACCUAAACAUACAAUUGAUUUAUGUCCUAGUUUGUAUGAUGAUACUAUGGCCUAUUUGAAUGCUGUGGAGAACUUUCCUGGGCCACCACAAAGUCGAUAUGAUCCUUACGCUAAUACCUAUAACCCAGGAUGGAAAAACCAUCCUAACUUGAGUUAUAGGGUCAACCUACGAUAUAACUAGCCAUACCAAAAUUAGUUUCAACAAUAGCCGCGAGAUUGAUGUACUUCUCUAGAAACCAUGGUCAAUAAAUUAGCAGCUAAUAUGCUUGAUUUUUAAUAGAAAACUGAGGUGUCUAUAAGAGAGUUGACCAUAUCAAUUGAGAAAAUGAACUCUUAAGGGAAGCUACCAUCACAAAAAGAGCCAAACCCAAGACAAAAUGCAAAUGUAGUGACAUUGCAAAGUGGAAGAGAACUAGAACCAAUUCCUGGUAGAAAUCUUGGCAAAGAUUUUGCCCAAGAGAAGCACGAGAACGACGAACUAGUUCGAAUGAAACCUCCAUUGCCUAAAAUUCAACCUCCAUUUCUAAGAUGAUUGAACCAAAAUCGGAAAGGUAAAGAGGAUAAGGAGAUCCUCGAAACAUUCAGAAAUGUUGAGAUCAACAUACCACUAUUGGAUGCCAUCAAACAAAUUCUGCGAUAUGCCAAGUUUCAUAAGGAGCUCUACACCAACAAGUGAAAAUUAACUGGUAAUGAAAGGGUAAGCGUUGGUGAAAAUGUAUCCACAGUGUUAUAGUGGAAGAUGCCAACAAAAUGCAAAGAUAGGGGAAUGUUUACAAUACCAUGCAAAAGAGGCCACUUAGGAAUUAAAAAAGCUAUGUGUGAUUUAGGGGUCUCCAUAACUGUAAUGCAUUUUCUAUUUAUGAAUCACUUACCAUGGGUUUUUUAAUGAAAAUAGGUGCUAUCAUUAAGUUAGCAGACACGUCUAUUGUGCAUUCUGAAAGAGGAUCGAGAUAACUGGAGGCUGGAAUCUCUCCAUCAAAAACUCUCUUUUCUCAACUCUGUUUAUUUUUACAAUUUCAAUUUCAAUUUACGCAAUCUCAACUCAACCAAACUUUUAAGUCUAUUUUUUUAUUUUUUAUCCAGGUACGCCAUUUUUCUUGGGCAUGACCCUGUCCGGGAUCUCGAGGAACAAGAACUUGUACAAGUCCAGUCUUUGAGGAUUUGACCUUACUUCCCUUAUACUAUUCUUUUCAUUAUUUUAUAGGGAUAUGGUAUUUUUGGUGUUCUCAAUGACGCACCAAUGUUUUUAUACCAAAUUGUGAAUUUAUAAAUUUGCAAAUAAUCAAUUAACACACACAGCCCCUAUGGAGAUGAUAACUCAUUUUACUUACUUAUUACUUGAACAACUGUGUACACUUGCACAAUAAUCCCGUUACAAAUGUUUUUCAUAUUCAAAAGGAGUAAGCUUUAUGCAUGUCAUGGAUGAGAAAAGUAUGGCACUGGGUGUAGAGAAAAGGAUAAAAUUUUUAAGAGGAUGUAGAGAUUAUAAGGUUUUCUAAAUCUUCUCAAAUAUAUAAAAAUUAUUUGACAAGAAAAUCCUUGUCCCAUAAUAAAUAUAUACCUUAAUCCUGAGUGGAUGAUGGACUAUGUAUGUGUGUAUCAUAUACUUUGAGGUAAGUAAAAGUCUGAGUUCAAAUAGAUAAGGAACCAAAAGUUGGUGCAUUGGAUAUACGACUUCUGUAGUAUAUAAGUUCGUUCACAAUAGUGGAAUUCAUUGCGCAACUAAUGGGUAAAUGAUACAAAUUCAUCUACAUUACAUGCUAGAUGAAAAUUAAACAUGAUCAUAGAUCGUUUGUCUUUGUGGUAAAUGGCUUGAUUACUAUUUGUCCUAGACAAAUGAUUCGUGGCCUUGUUACUUUUUCAUCUAUCAUUUAAUGCUAAUGAGAGAAUAUCAUUUACCCUUUAAUGGGUUAUGAAUUCCACUAUCUGAAUGAAGCUAUGUCGUGCAAAAGUAGUAUGCCUAACAUAUUAGCUUUCGGAUUUUUAGUUGUUUUGAACUCAAUCUUUCACUACAUCUAAGUGUACGAGUUAUGCACACAUAGUUAGUCACUUAGUCAAGUUUGAGGUAAGUCACUAUGAACAUCACAAAUAAAUUAAUCCACAAACAAAUCUAAGAUUAAUUUGAAUUGAGUCUUUCUUUAUGUAUUAUCAAUCCAGACAAUAACAUCUACGUCUCUAUCUUCUGGGAGUCAUCUGUUUCGAUACUAAAGACAAGAUAUCUAUCUAAUAGAACUUGAUAGACUGCAUAAUAAUCCUUUAACUGAUUUGCUCAAUUUCGAUUUAAUGGACCUUUUAAAUUAUCUACUAAUAUAAGUUAUCUUCUCGAAUUGAUCCGACCAUAUAAUACAACUUAAUAUCGGUUAAACGUUAGGUAAUCAAUGACUAAUAUUUGUUGACAUUUUACUUCUUUUGCGCUUGUUUUUAUAUUCAAAAUUUACCACUUUCUUUUGCAAAUUCAUUUUAUUCUAUUUUAAUUAGUUUAUAGUUAACUACACUUAGACUCCCUUUGGAUAGGUGAUGAGAUUAAUCCGAUGAGAUUGAAAAUAGUGGUAGCGACAAUAUUAUCUACUAUUGAUGUACUAAAACAACUCUUCAUGACCUAAAAUAAAUUAAAAUUAAUAAAUUUUAUUUAUUAACAACAGAAUACCGCCAAACUCAAGAGGACGCCUCUAUAAAUGAAACUAUUCGUGGCAUUCAACGAGAGAAACGCCACUAAUAUAUACAAAUUAAAAUUUAAAAAAUUAAUUAUAUUUCUUAAUUGUAUAAUUUACGGUAUCUGAGACUUGGUCGCCACCAUGUGCACUAAUGUGUUAUCCGCUGAAAUGUUGAAAUUCGCUGGCUGACGUGAGUGAAUUAGCCGCGUUUUCUGGGUAACCUCCACUUAUCAUGCGCAUAAGCCACUACAGGAGUACCUAUGUGGCACUUUUCUCUGUAAACGCCGCAAGGUAUUGCCGCGGUGAGUGGUGAGAUGCAACAUGAUAUGAUCGUGGUUUUCUUCAAGUCAACUGGAUGAGGUCGCAUAUAAGCAAUCUUGCUCCUUCCUGUCUUCCGCUGUGAGUGAGCUUUGUUCAACAAAGUGAUCUGAGAGGAUAGGUGGGUUUUACUUGUUGUAAGGGUGGAGUGGCAACGUCUAGCAACUAUAAAUUUUGCAACCAUAUAAGCCAAACUGUAAAAGACAGCACAUAAUUCAUCAAAUAAAUAAUCUUAUUCAUAAUACAUAAAAAUAAAAUAAUUAAUUCAAAAUCAUGCACAAUUUUCUUUAAAAUAAUAUAAAUGUCAAAUGCUAAAUAAUAUGAUCAGAACAAGAAAGAGAUAAUACACUAAAAUAAUACAGUUGAAUGUUUGAGUUUAUAAGUUAAGAGUAUUUUUAUUAAUAUUAUAUUCCAAUUCGAGUUAAGAUUUUUUAUCAAACUAAAAGUGAAAAUUUAUAUCAAAGAAAGAAAUUGUAGUAAGUUGAGUGUCAAAUCCGUUUUUUAUUGAAAAUGGUGGCAAAAACAUUAAUUUUUUAAUGAUGUUGACGCGACAACUUAAUUACAUAUACUUUAUACAAACAUUACAAUUCGUUUUUUUUAUGUUACCUCACCAAAUGAUUUAAAAUUUAUAAAAUAUUCAAAUUAUAAAAAAGAGUUCAUAAAAAUUCAUAAAAUUAGCAUGGACUACAUGUAGAUUGCUAAGUGGGCUGUUAUGUUUAAAAGUUUAAUGUUUUAAUAAGUAUUUCUAUUUAAAAAAAAUAACAAUUCGAUUCUUUUUUAAAUGUUGGUGGUCAAAUUUGACCUCUUUAAAAUGGUUGAGACUAAAACCAAUAUGAGUAAAAAAUAUAAACAUUAAGGGUUAAAUUUGAUAUUAUGCAUGGACUUAUCGAUAAUUAGAGGCUUUUAAGUAUAGUUAAAUCCGAAUUUAUUGAUUCAAACAAAAUUUUGUAUCAAUAAAAAUAAUAAAAGUUUUCUUUUUUACUUUGGUCAAACUUUGGUGGAGAGAUUUUCGAGUAAAGGUGUUGGUGAUUUGAAUCAUUUCCUGGGAAUUGAAGUCAUUCUCAAGAUUUAUUCAUCUCAACUCAAGAAUAUAUCUGUUAUGAUAUAUUGAGCAAAGUAAACUUGCUGCUUCGUUGUAAUAUUUGACUUUGACACCAUUUCAUAAUUGUUUGGUUGAUAUAUUGAGCAAAGUAAACUUUUCUCAGCUUUUGCGUAAACCAACCUCUAGCAGAGAUGAAGAUAAAUACUGAAUAAAUAUAUUUGUAAUAAAAUAAUAAAGUACAAUGAUGAAGUAUGAGAAUGUCAAUCUCAUACACUUAUUCUAUCCGAGUGGAGCGGAAUCAUACGACUUUUUCACAAUCCAAGAGAAUUGAGUCUGUAAAUGACACCUUAGUAAUGAACUACAGUAAAGUUAAAUUCCAUAAUGACAUUGGUGGCAUUUAUAAGGAUAGGGUUAAAUAGUGCAGUCCCUUUUGCCAUCAUGAAUCGUCCUCUUCCUCCGACCACCGCAAGCCCUGGUUCUCCCCUUGAAAAUACGCUUAGAGAGCUGCCGUUAAACUUACCGGUAUUAAAUCCAAAUUCUAUGUACUGCGUGCUCGAUGCAUUUGAUCCGGCUAAGAGGGAAAUACCCUGAACAUUUCCAAUCACCUCUGAGUCAGGCUCAGGACCAGUCCUGAGGGGAUCAUUAACAGCAACUAGGGUGGCAAAUGUCACUGAUGAAUUAUUGCUUGUGAUGUUAGCUUGGGUUAGCACGACUGCUGUAACACCCGUAUGUUCGUGCAUAAAGAAGUGAAGAUUGGUGACCUUAGGUGGCUUGGGAUGAUAUGGUCGGGUAUCUGAGUAGUAUUGGCUCCGAACUGCUACUUGGGAGAGGCAGAUGAUCAGAAUCCAACUCAACAUCAAUGCUCCUUUCAUUGUCUCUGUUUUACUAUAAUUUCUGGGGCGAAAUGUAGAUGAAAACUAUAGAAUUGUUGCUUCAAUUUUAUUAGGAAGACAGAAAGAUUUAUAGUGAUAAAACCCGCAGACAUGAACAUAAUUUGUUGUCCCAAACAUUUUAUAUAAUACAUGAUUGAUUUCGCCGUGGCAAUAUUAUAAAGAACACAAAUCCUGAUCACGCAACAGAAACUUGGCCUAAUUAUUUUAGAUUGGAAGUUUCCUCCUCCUGCGUUUCUGUUUUCGUGUGAAUAUUGUCCAUUGACUUUAAUUUAUUUGAUAUUAUAUAUUCCAUGUGAUUGAUGUGUUGAUUUUAUAAAUUAUUUUAUCUUCUGCAAACAAAUGUUUGUUUGAUGUGAAAUCUCUUUUUUUUUUUUUCUUUCUAAAUCUCCUUCAGAAAUUAACGGCGAAUCUAGAAAUCAGAAACAUGGUCUAAUUAGCUGCUGGCUCUAAUCAAUUUUCUUUGUUUUUUACGCAAAGCAGGUUGUGGAAUUCACUACCACCGUUCUGCCAAUUUUUCUCUUUUUUCUUGAGUAAUUAAAACUUUAUUCUGGCUUGGGGACACUAAUCAAUCCGAGAGAGAACUGUGAUGCUUUCAAUUUUGCCUAAAUCUUCCACACUCUUGCAACACUUUAUUGGAAUUUGUUAAAUUUGGAACUGAAUUGUGUGCUAAUACAUGUCUCAUGGAAUUUGACAUUUUCUAUACUCGCUUAGACAAAUUGCUCAUUUGAAAAAACGAAAAAGAAAAAAAAAAGAAGUGAGAACAGAACUGAUAGCUUAAAUUAUGAGUAAGAACUUGUGUAUUGUGACGGUUGUUUGAAUUGUUAUCGCACUUCGCGUCAAAAGCUCUAGUACUGUUUCAAGUCAAUAAAUUACUCUAAUCACGGUGCCAUAAGAGAGAUAUAUUGAAUUGUGUAAUCAUCUUGAGUUGUCAUUUCAUUUUAUGUUAAAAGAUUCGACAACAUCUUAAACAAAAAGAAAUAAAUAAAUGUCUGUGCGAGUCUAAUUGAAUAAGUCCAUGGAAUGAAAACAUUUUCCGGGAUAUUGUUACAUGACUCGAAUGAUUGAACAAAAGGUGUGCUUGAGAACAAGCUUUCUUCAAGUCAGCCGGAGGAGGUCUGUCAUCCGGUGUGAGUGAGCAAUAUUGUUCAACAAAGUGAUCUUAGAGGGUAAGGGUGGAGUCACCAUGUCUAAAAGUUAUAAAUUUUUUAACCAUAUAAGUAAACGUGUAAGAAAAACACAUAAUACAUCAAAUAAAUAAUCUUAAUCGCGAUACAUAAAAUAAAAAAAAAUGAUUUAAGAUCAUACACACACAUUGUUUUAAAUAAUAUAAAUGUCGAUUCCCACACAAUAUCUUCAAAACAGGAAAAAUAUAUUACACUAAAAUAAUAUAGUUGAAUGUUUGAGUGUAUAAAUUAAGAAAAAUUUUAUUAAUGUUUUAUUCCAUAUGAAAGAAAGAAAUUGUAGUAAGCUGAAAAAUUUAACACAUUUGGCCUAUAGUUGGAGACUAGAAAUUCAAAUUUAACUUCUCCUUAUUGUGAUUUAACUUUUGUUAAACUUAACUUAAGCUUCAAUUUAAUCCCAGAAAUUCAACAGAGUCUAGAUUGGAAGUUUCCUCCCCCUGCGUUUUGAUUUUCGUGUGGAUAUUGCCCUUUGACUUUAAUUUAUUUGAUAUUACAUAUAAUAUAUGAUUGAUGUAUUGAUAUUAUAAAUUAUUCUAUUUCUGCUAAGAAAAGUUUGUUUGGUAUGAUCAAGUCUCUUUCCAAUAUAAUCAACUCCGACAUAAGAAAUUCAUUAGAAAUCAGAAACAUGAUCUAAUUAACACCCAAUUGAGAAAUUUAUAUCAAUUUUCUUUGGUUUUUGCGCCAACCAGGUGGUGGCCCAUUUUUUAAAUUAUUAUUUAAUUAAUUAUAAUUAAUUAACUUAAGUAUAAUGCGAGAAAUAAAUUUAAAUAAUUAUCAUGGAUUUAUUAAAUAAGACAAUUAAAUAUAUUUUUCUUACAAAUUUAUUAAAUAACUUUAAUGGAAUUAUAAUUGGGUUGAAAUAUAAUUUAAUUAAGAAAAUAAUUUAAUUAAUUUAUAUAUUUAAGAAAUAUAAAAUAAAUAUUAGGUUAUAUAAAUUAUAAGUGUUGGAUAAAAAACCCAAAUUAGGUCUAGUUAAUGGAAGGGAUGGCAAGCCUUAGUAUUUUCUAGGCCAUGCCACCGCCCCCACCUAUUCUACUUCAAGUAGAAUUUUUAUUUUCUAUUAAAAUAUUAUCAUUCGAUUACCCUUUAUUCAAAUAGAUCUCUUGUACUGUUUCUUUAUAAUUAGGGACUACGAGCUAAACUAUUCAUACAAUUUUGAGAGUAUUGUUAUUUUGUCAAAAAAUAGUGACAAUUUUUUUAGAAUAAAUUCUAUUUUUUGGGAAAAUCUGAUAGUUUCCAGUUUAUAGAGAGAAUUAACAUUCUCAUUGAAAGUUAAGAAAUGUUUUCAUUCUGUGCAUUUGGUUCUAUUUUGAGAGCUCAUACUCAAAGCAAUUCAGGGUUUGAGGAUAGCGAAGAAGGUCAUUCACUAGAAAGUCAGGAUUGACUUAGACUACCUCGUACAAAACAUAGGUAUAAAUUUGGUUAAAGGUUUAUUGUUAUAAAUAUCACCAGGCUUGAUUUUAAGUAAAAUUUUAAACUUCCGUUUUGCCUAAAAACUUAGUUUUCUAAACCCAUUUUUACAACAAUUGUGUGGUGUAUAGUUGGAAGAAUCGAAACAAUCCGUAAUUGUCAUAUUCAGUGUGUUGAAGAACAAACUAAUGUGACCAAUUGAGUAAAUGAUUGGAUUUGUCAAGGGAAUUAAUGAUAGAUUUUAAACGACUCACACAAUUGAGACCUUUGAUUCAAGUCAAUUCUAUCUUGUUCGCAUGGUUAAUGAGGAACUAAAUAGUGGAAGUUGAUUUUAGGUUAUUCGCUUGGUAAGGGUUACUUGUCAAAUCGUUCUCACAUUUAAUUUACAUACAAAAAGGUAAGUCGCGGUUAGAAGUUGCUCCUCAAUCAUUAUAAUUGACUUAUCGGUUGGAGGAGAAAAUCUAUUGUCGUGCAUCAACUAAAACCAAGGCCAAAACUAUUCUUGAAGUUAGAGCGUUGUUUCAUCAGUUUACUCAAUUUUAAUCCCUCUCUUCUAUUUUUCAUAUAGUUCGACACAUGUCGUGGGCAUGAAAGUUGCCUACCACACGUUCUGGUUAAAAUGAACAUCAAUUUAUUCUGUUAUAUUAGCAUUAUGGAAAUCUCUGGGAUACCUGGUCUAUUCCGCUGUUAUACUCGCUAUUAUAUUCUCCGUUGAAUACAGCAGUCGGAAAGUUAAUUUCUCUCUAUGAAAAAUCGAAAAGCUUUGAGAUUUAUAGAAAAUAGGAUUUAUUCUUGUAAAUAUCUCUUUUUUAAAGAAAAUGAUGACAAAAAGAAUUAAUUUUUUAAUGAUGUUGGUAUGGCAAUCCACACGUAAUUUAUAUUGUCAUGAUAUUUUUUGUUUUAUAUGCCAUGUCAACAAAUAAUUUAAAAAUUAUAAAUUAUAAAAAAAUUAAUACAAAAUAUAUGUGGAUUGCCCUGCGCGCUGUGAUGUUUAAAAAUAGUUAGUAUUUCCAUAAACAAAAAAAAAAAAUUGACUCUUCUUGAAAGGUUUGUGGUCAAAUUUGAUUCCUUUUAAAAGGUUGCGGCUCAAAUUUAGCUCAAAAAUGAAAUAAGAGUUAAAUUGAGUAAAACACGUCAACAUUGAGAACUAAAUUUGACAUUACGCCUUGAUUUAUCAAUCUAUUAAAGGCCUAAGUAUUGUGGAAUAUGAACUUAUCGAAUCAGACAAAUUUGGUAUCAAUAAAAACAAUAAAGCUUUUCUCUCUAACUUUGUUCAAACUUUGGCGGAGACAUUCUCUAGUAAAGAUCUUGCUGAUCUGAAUCAUUUCUUGGAAGUUAAAGUCAUUCCAACAUAUCAAGAUUUAUUCAUCUCAACACAAGUAUAUAGAUGUUAUGAUAUAUUGAGCAAAAUCAACAAAUAAUUGUCAAGUGCCAAGGAAUCAAAUACACCAAUGUCUACUUUAGUUUGUUUAAGUUUUCAUGUUGGUCAAGUUUUGCAUAAAGCAGCCUCUAUCAGAGAUGAAGAUAAAUACUGAAUAGAUAUAUUUAUAUGCCUUUUUGUAGCUAAGAAUUUAAUCUUUAUUUGUAAUAUAACAGUAAAGUACAAUGAUCAAGUAUGAGAAUUUUAAGUUUUAAUCAAAUCAACAUAUAUAUAUAUAUCAUACACUUAUUCUAAUCAAGUGGAGCAUAAUCAUACGACUUUUUCACAUUAAUCCAAGAGAAAUGAGUCUGUAAAUAACACCUUAGUAAUGAAUUACAGUAACGUUAAAUUCAGCAAUUGUAUUGGUGGCAUUUACAAGGAUAGGAUUAAAUUGUGCAACCCCUGUUGCCAUCAUGAAUUGUCCUCUUCCUCCGACCACCGCAAGAUCAGGUUCUCCCCUUGAAAAUACGCUUAGAGAGCUACCGUUAAACUUACCAGUAUUAAAUCCAAAAUCUAGGUAUUCCGUGCUCGAUGCAUUCAUUCCAGCCACUGACGCAAUACCCUGAAUAUUUCCAAUCAACUCUGAGUCAGGCUCAGGACCAGUCCUGAGGGGAUCAUUAAUGGCAAAUAAGGAGGCAAAUGGCAGUGAUGAACUAUUGUCAUUGCUUGUGCUGUUAGCUUGGGCUACCACUACUAUUGUAACACCCGUAGUUCUGUGCAUAAAGAAGUUAAGAUUGGUGACCUUAACUGGCCUGGGAUGAUAUGGUAGGGUCUCCGAGUAGUAUUGGCUCUGCACUGCUACUUGGGCGAGGCAGAUGAUCAGAAUCCAACUCAACAUCCAUGUUCCUCUCAUUGUCUCUGCUUUACUAUAACUUCUGGGGAAAGCUAUAGAAUUGUUGCUUCAUUUUUAUUAAGAAAACAGAAAGAUUUAUACUGAUAAAACCUGCAGAUAUGAAAAUAAUUUAUUGUCCAUAACAUUUUAUAUAAUACCUGCAUGAUUUCUCACUAGUAAUAUUAAAGACAAAACAAAUUUUGACCAGGCAACACAAACUUGGUCUAAUUGGCUGAUUGAUUUUUUAAAAAAGGAUAACUUCACGUAAACACCAUUCUGCCUAUAAAAUUAAAUGAUCCACUUGCUUUAAAUUAAUUUGUGGAUUGGAAGUCUCCUACCCUGCCUUUUUUAUUUUCGUUUGAAUGGUUUGUAUUGUCCAUACAUCUGAUUGAUGUGCUGAUGUUAUAAAUUAUUUUAUUUUAUAAUUUUGUGGAUUGGGUCCACUUAAAUAAAGGUUGAAGAUAACCAAAAAUAAUAUUAAUGUUCUUAGGUAUCAUUAAGUAAAAUAAUAUUGUGUUACUAGGAGGGCAACAACACUCCCUCUCGAGCCUUGGGUGUUGCCCAUCACACAUUGGAUGAGCUUAUUGGGCCUAUCUCAUAUAUUGUACAUAUAUCUAAAUAUUUAAUCAACCCAUAUAUUUUAGUUAACUUCAUAAAUAAUUUUUUAUUUACUUAAUUAAAAAAAAUUAAUUAAUCUAUUUAAUUAAAUUAUUUUCUCAACCCAAUUAAAUAUUUGAGGUAAAAUUUAUUAUUAUACCAAUAAAAAAUUGUCACCGUCAAUGAUUUAACGGAGUGAUGACCAAAAUAUUAAAUUUCAAUAAGGUGACUAAAAUAGAAAAUUUUAAACUUGAGUGACCAUAAUUGAAACACACUAAGAAUUAGGUGACUAUUUUUUAACUUUACCAUUGUUGUACUAUGAUAAGAACAAUCGGAUUUGGCAGGGCAUAUAGAGUUAAAAAUUGUCACAUAGCCUACAUAAUUUUUCUAUACAUUAAUGCUUAAAAUACUCAUAAACCCCCACGCUCGUAAAUUGGAGAUAAAAGCACUUAAAGUGUUUGAACCCACAUCCUACUUAUUGUUGCAACAACAAUAGUAACACUUGAGUUAAAGAUCAAUUAGCCAUGCUUCUUUUUCUUUUAAAGUUGCAUAACAAGUGGUUAAAAUCUAAACAAUGAAUCAAACCCCAAAUUUGUGGUCUAUUGAUUGACUGCCUAUUUUCUAUAAAAAUAGCCUAAAUUCGAGUCAUCUAUGCACCUAUAACAAAUGAUUAAAAUCUAAAUAAUGAACCAAACCGCAAGUUGUGAUCCAUUGAUCGAGUGUUUAUUUUCUAUAAAAAUAGCCUAGAUUCAAGUCAUCGAUGUGCCUAAAGAAAACGUCUAAACGGAGAUCCAAAGUUUUGUAUUUUUCAAAAAUAUUAGUUAAGCGCAUAUCCCUAUUAUACUCAAGGUUAAAACAUAUAUGGAGUCUAAUAAUUAAAAUUUUUUAAUAAGUUUUUUUUAUAAAAUAUUUAAAAAAAUUGUAUUAAUUUAUUUAUGAGGAUAGUUUAGUUCAUCAAUUUAAAUUGAUCAAUAUUUUAAAAUUAAUAUUAGAAUGAUAUUUUGGUCUAUCAAUUUUAAGAGUUAAUUUAAAGCUUACUCAAGAAACAGAUGAAAAGGUGAGUUAAAGAUGAAAUGGAUCAUACUAAGUGUUGGGUAUAGCGGUAAGAUACAUUAUAUUUUUAAGGGAAAAUACAAAAUUAAAUUUUGGAGAUGACAUUGUUAAGACGGACAACAACGAACCUUGAACAUGGACUUAAAAAAAACAAGAGGAAUACAAAAAAAAAAAAAAGAACAAAUAGGUCACAAGCAUGGUGUGUUUCAAUGUACAGUUCCGAGUUUAUCAAUAUUUUUAGUUUUACAUAUAUAUUUAUUGUUUAAUUUUUAGAUUUUCUUUUUGUAAAUUAUAAUAUAUAUUCAAGUAAGUAUAUCUUACAUGCAUAAAUAUGUUUAUAUCAAAAUAUAAGUUUUAAAAUUACUAAUUAGGUUUAAUAAAUUAAUUUAAUAAUUGUAUUUUAAGUUUAAAUGUAAAAUUUAAAUUGUUUAAUAUAAAAUAAAAUAAAAUUUAGGUUUAAAGUAUUAAAAUUUUAUAUUGAUGUCCACUAAAUUAAUUAAUAAAUUUAAUAAAUUGGUUAAAAUAAUUGUACCUAUCAAUUAAUAGUAUAAUUAUAACGAGUGAUUUGUCAUAAUUAAUGUCUCAAGUAAGAGUAUUCUCGGCGAGCUUGCUUUGUAGCUAAGAAUUUAAUCUUUAUUUGUAAUAUAACAAUAAAGUACAAUGAUGAAGUAUGACAAUUUUAAUUUAUUCUCGUACAUUUAUUCUAAUCAAGUGGAGCAGAACCAUGACAUUUUCACAAUCGAUGAGAAUUGAGUUUGUAAAUAGCACCUUAGUAAUGAACUACAGUAACGUUAAAUUCAAUAAUGACAUUGGUGGCAUUUAUAAGGAUAGGGUUAAAUAGUGCAACCCCUCUUGCCAACAUGAAUCGUCCUCUUCCUCCGACCACCGCUAGCCCAGGUUCUCCCCUUGAAAAUACGCUUAGAGAGCUGCCGUUAAACUUACCGGUAUUGAAUCCAAAAUCAAUGUAUUGUGUGCUCGAUGCAUUCAUUCCAGCCAGGAGCGCAAUACCCUGAACAUUUCCAAUCACCUUCGAGUCAGGCUCAGGACCAGUCCUGAGGGGAUCAUUAACGGCAACUAGGGAGGCAAAUGGCACUGAUGAAUUAUUGCUUGUGAUGUUAGCUUGGGCUACCACGACUGCUGUAACACCCGUAUGUUCGUGCAUAAAGAAGUGAAGAUUGGUUUCCUUAGCUGGCUUGUGAUGAUGUACUGGUCGGGUCUCCGAGUAGUAUUCGCUCUGCACUGCUACUAGGGAGAGGCAGAUGAUCAGAAUCCAACUCAACACCAAUGUUCCUCUCAUUGUCUAUGCUUUACUAUAAUUUCUGGGGAGAAAUGUAGAUGCAAG